AGCGAACGCUGGCGGCAGGCUUAACACAUGCAAGUCGAACGGGCAUCUUCGGAUGUCAGUGGCAGACGGGUGAGUAACACGUGGGAACGUACCCUUCGGUUCGGAAUAACUCAGGGAAACUUGAGCUAAUACCGGAUACGCCCUUUUGGGGAAAGGUUUACUGCCGAAGGAUCGGCCCGCGUCUGAUUAGCUUGUUGGUGGGGUAACGGCCUACCAAGGCGACGAUCAGUAGCUGGUCUGAGAGGAUGAUCAGCCACACUGGGACUGAGACAUGGCCCAGACUCCUACGGGAGGCAGCAGUGGGGAAUAUUGGACAAUGGGCGCAAGCCUGAUCCAGCCAUGCCGCGUGAGUGAUGAAGGCCUUAGGGUUGUAAAGCUCUUUUGUCCGGGACGAUAAUGACGGUACCGGAAGAAUAAGCCCCGGCUAACUUCGUG
rnacentral:rRNA from 1 species